ACUCGUUAAGGCUGAGCUGUGAUGGGGAGAAGACAUUGUGUCUUCGAGUCGUUGAUUUCACACUGCCGAGAAAAGCCUCUAGAUAGAAAAUAGGUGCCCGUACCGCAAACCGACACAGGUAGUCAAGAUGAGAAUUCUAAGGUGAGCGAGCGAACUCUCGUUAAGGAACUCGGCAAAAUGACCCCGUAACUUCGGGAGAAGGGGUGCUCUUUAGGGUUAACGCCCAGAAGAGCCGCAGUGAAUAGGCCCAAGCGACUGUUUAUCAAAAACACAGGUCUCUGCUAAACCGUAAGGUGAUGUAUAGGGGCUGACGCCUGCCCGGUGCUGGAAGGUUAAGAGGAGUGGUUAGCUUCUGCGAAGCUACGAAUCGAAGCCCCAGUAAACGGCGGCCGUAACUAUAACGGUCCUAAGGUAGCGAAAUUCCUUGUCGGGUAAGUUCCGACCCGCACGAAAGGCGUAACGAUUUGGGCACUGUCUCAACGAGAGACUCGGUGAAAUCAUAGUACCUGUGAAGAUGCAGGUUACCCGCGACAGGACGGAAAGACCCCGUGGAGCUUUACUGUAGCCUGAUAUUGAAAUUCGGCACAGCUUGUACAGGAUAGGUAGGAGCCUUUGAAACGUGAGCGCUAGCUUACGUGGAGGCGCUGGUGGGAUACUACCCUAGCUGUGUUGGCUUUCUAACCCGCACCA
rnacentral:rRNA from 1 species